GAUGAACGCUGGCGGCGUCCCUAAUACAUGCAAGUCGAGCGAACAGACGAGGAGCUUGCUCCUCUGAUGUUAGCGGCGGACGGGUGAGUAACACGUGGAUAACCUACCUAUAAGACUGGGAUAACUUCGGGAAACCGGAGCUAAUACCGGAUAACAUGUUGAACCGCAUGGUUCAACAGUGAAAGACGGUUUUGCUGUCACUUAUAGAUGGAUCCGCGCCGCAUUAGCUAGUUGGUAAGGUAACGGCUUACCAAGGCAACGAUGCGUAGCUGACCUGAGAGGGUGAUCGGCCACACUGGAACUGAGACACGGUCCAGACUCCUACGGGAGGCAGCAGUAGGGAAUCUUCCGCAAUGGGCGAAAGCCUGACGGAGCAACGCCGCGUGAGUGAAGAAGGUCUUCGGAUCGUAAAACUCUGUUAUUAGGGAAGAACAAAUGUGUAAGUAACUAUGCACGUCUUGACGGUACCUAAUCAGAAAGCCACGGCUAACUACGUG
rnacentral:rRNA from 1 species